GCAGGUAAUAACAGUCACAAGGGAGUAAAAACUCAUGAAUUCAGAAAAGAGGUUGCAACGACUGUCAUCCCAGGUAAUAAAUGAGUGUCUGGAGCCUGGAUAAACUCAAAGAUUGGGAUGAAUUCCUCACUAUGUAAGUUACAAGAGGACAUUGUAACUGAUUCUAUGCAUAAGAUUAUGGACUGGAAUAAGUUAAUAAUAGUUCAGAAGGCUACUGCAUAGUGCCUACAUGCUUGCUUACUUUAAACGCUUAUUUCAAUUUAUAUAAUUUUUAAAAGUUCAGUUAUUGAAAGAUGAGUUGUAUAAAAGUAUACUUUUGUACAUUUCAGAUAAACUACAACUUUGAAGAAUGAACGUGUUAUAUGUUGACAUGUGUCCCCGCCCCCCCCCAAAAAAAGAUAUGUUGAAUCCCUAACUCGCAGUACCUCAGAAUGUGAUCUUAUUUGGAAAUGGGGUCACUGCGGACGUAAUUAGUUAAGAUGAGGUCAUACUAGAUUAGGAUGGGUCCUUAAUCUGAUAUGACUGGUAUCCUUGUAAGAAGAGAAGAGACACAGGCACAGACACAUGGGUAGAGAUGCUAUGUGACAGUGGAGGCAGAGAUUGAAGUGCUGCAGCUGAAAGUCAGGGAUCGCCAAGGAUUGACAGUGACUACCAGAAGCAAGGAAGAGGCAGGAAAGAGUUCUGUCCAGUCUCAGAGGAAGCCCGUCUCUGCUGACACCUUGAUUUUGGACUUCUAGUCUCCAGAAUGGUGGGGAAAUAAGUUUCUGUUAUACAGCAGCCAGUAGGUAAUCAACACAGAACCUAUUAAUUUUACCAGAGGGCUGUGACUGAAGCAUCCUAGCUACAACAGGCCAGCCUAUCCUAAGUGAAACAGGAAAUAGUCUUUUCAGUGUGGAGAUGCUAAUGUGACUACCAAGUCAAAGGUAUGAUGAGUCCUGAAGGAAUAUCAAGCUGGAAAGAAACUGCUACCUCUGCACUGGCAGAUUCUUAUCUACCCACUUCCUUGCCCAGCUUACAGAUGAGGGUGGCAAAGAAAGUUGGAUCGAAUAGAAUUGAAUAUCCAUUAUGUGUGGCAUAUUCUAGGAACUCUGGAGCAUAAAGAUAUAAUGCUUAUUAUAUAAUGCUUAUUAUAUUGAACCAUAUGAAAUUGCUAUUUUUUUGGGUAAAAGAUUAGUUAAAUAGUGACAAUUUCAUAUGGUUCAACCUAAUAGGUUACACUGGAAUUUAGAAGGUGAUGUUAUACAGAUUUCUAACAAUAAAAGGGACCACAUAAUAAACAUCGAAUGAGAAUUAUUGCAUCUUAAAAGAUGGGAAAGAUUCAGGAAGACCCUGGAAAGUGAUGGGUAUUUGGGGGUGGGUAGUGAGGGGACCAGUUUCACCGGAGAUGUAAGUCCACAUGCAGGAGUCAGGAGGGAAAGUUCUAGAAAAGUAUCUUGGGCGUAUGUCAACGAAGAUCUUCAAUGCUAGACUAAGGAGUUCCCGUUUAUUUUUAUGAAAUUAGCGAAUAAAUUGUCAAAGAUUGUCUGGAAAAGAAGAUUGGAAGUGACAGCUUAGGAAAUUAAUUCAGCAUAUAUUUAUUUAACAAAUAUUUGUUGAGACCAAUUUGUUGUGCAGGCAGAUUGGAGACUUAUAGGACUGAAGACCUGGGAACCAAGUAAGAGAUUAUUAAUUGCUGACUUUGUUGUUACUACAGUGUAACUAUGGUGUUAUAUGUACUUGAACUGGAGUGGUAGGGGUGGAAAGGAAAAAUUAAGGUGGCUUGGAGAACACCUGAGAGAGCUUGGUGAUAUAUUGUGCAAGAAGGAGGUGGGGUCAAAGGAGAUGACAUCAGAGUUUUGCAUUUGAGUGAAUUUAAGAAUGGCCUUGGGCUUCCCUGGUGGCGCAGUGGUUAAGAAUCCGCCUGUCAAUGCAGGGGACACGGGGUUCGGUCCCUGGUCGGGGAAGAUCCCACAUGCCGCGGAGCAACUAAGCCCGUGCACCACAACUACUGAGCCUGCGCUCUAGAGCCCAUGUGCCACAACUACUGAAGCCCACGUGCCUAGAGCCCGUGCUCCGCAACAAGAGAAGCCACCGCAAUGAGAAUCCCGCGCACCGCAACAAAGGGUAGCCCCCGCUCGCCACAACUAGAGAAAGCCCACGCGCAGCAACGAAGACCCAACACAGGCAAAAAUAAAAUAAAUAAAUUUAUAAAAAAAAAAAAAAGAAUGGCCUUAAUAACAAAAAUGGAGAAAGCAAGAGAGGAGGCUGGUUCUGGGAUUGAGGUGCUGGUUUUUUAAAAAACCUUAAAUUUAAAGUAAUAGUAAGAUAUCUUAGUAGAACUUUCCAGCAUAGGACAGAGAAUGAGGUUAACUCAGAGUUGCCAAGAGGGAGGUUAUGGUUGAGGGUAUGAACGUGGACCAGAUCUCUGAGGGAGAAAUCAUAUUAGAGAAAAGUAGAAGAUUGGAUCUUGCAGGAUGACAGUGAUUAAAUUUAAAUUAUGCAUAUUAUUCCCAAUUUUAUAGCUUUUAAUUAUAACCCCUCUCUGACAUUGUCCUUCCAGACUGAAAAAUCUUACUCAUUUCUAUCCUUGAUCAAAUAGUAGCUCUACUUCACAGCAUUCUUGAAGUUCAGGGACCAAUAUAAUCAUUACAUAUUUUCCUCUUAUCACCAGAUGAUUUUGUAAAAGGGCAGACUGCUAUUUGUGGUUUGAUUUUUCAGCACCUUUAUGUUCUGGAAAUUUAGUCCCCUGGAGGAGGGAGUAUGCCUUAUGUAACUCUAUCUCCAGCAUUCAGCAUUUAGAAUUCACUGCAGAGUAGGUAGUUAAUACAUGUUUCUCAUACAAAUGAAUUUUGGAGAUACUAUUAAAAAACAUGUAAAGUUACUUAGAAUGUUUCAUAGAACAGUACAGUAAGUAGUUCAUUCAAACUUCUAAAAUACUGGGUUUACAUCUUGUUGAACUAUGGCUUUUAUCAAGUGAAAUCCAGAGGGUUAAAAGCACAAGUUUGGUUUAAAAAAUGUAUCUCUAUUUUUAGAAACUAGCCAUUGUACAAUAUCAGCCUUCCUAUCUAUUAAACUAUAAUAGCUAAAAUCAUGCGUCAAAAUUCCACCUCAGUCUCUAAAAUCCAGAGUAUUAGGUUUGCUAUGAAGUUUCCUUCAGCUUACAUAUUUUUUCUUUCUUUAAACAGAGUUAAAGAGAUCAUUUUUUCCCCUGGCACUUAAACUAUGAGAGAGACAAGGACAAAUUGGGUCUUAUUACAACCUUGCAGACUGCCCUGCUCCAGGCUGCAGCAGGAAGCAUCAGGUCUUAUACCUUGUGGUGGAAGUAUCUAUAUGGGCCCCUUAUGGAGAAUGAAGAGAGACAAGAAGAGAAGUGAAGCAAAGGGACAAAGGGAAGGAGGCAGAGCUCCCUUUCCAGGAUUGCCCUGUCGUCCCACCCAUUUUUAUUCAAGCUGUGAUGAAUGAAUGUUGGUACGCAGGCCUCUCACUGCUGUGGCCUCUUCUGUUGCGGAGCACAGGCUCUGGACGCGCAAGCUCAGUGGCCAUGGCUCACGGGCCCAGCCGCUCCGCGGCAUGUGGGAUCCUCCCUGACCGGGGCACAAACCCGUGUCCCCUGCAUCGGCAGGCCGGACUCUCAACCACUGCGCCACCAGGGAAGCCCUGCAGCUAACAUCUUGAUGAGAAAAUGAAGAGUCAGGUGACUCAUCUUCCUAAAGGUCCCCCAACUAUGGAGUGGUAGACUGGGGGCUGAAACCCACAUCUCUUACUCUCAGCUGGUGCUUCUCAGUUCUCCUGAACUUAGGAACAAGAGGCCGCCGUGGUUUAGAACAGAGAACGCAGGUGGCCAUUUGCUGCUUAUAUCACUGGAACCUGGUGCUUCUUCCAGACUUGGCUUCUUCAUUCCUACAAUGGCGGAUAAUAAUGCUCUCCUCACGGAGCAGGGUUGAAGAAAAUCGUGGAUAUAAAGUACUUUUAGAAUGCCAUGUUCAUGGUAAGUACUCAACAGAUAUGUUCUUUCAAACCAAUUGCCCACAUGAAAUUAUUAUUUCAUUUAAUUGUGUAACU